CUUAGGAAUGGUUGCAAGUAGUUGAUGAGAUUAAAAAAUAAUCUUGGUAUUAUACUUUACCUGUGUCAGAAAAUACUCUGACGGCAUAUUUUGUCCAGAGAUGUUUGUCUGGAAUGGCACAUUUUAUGACUUUGGUCCCAACAUUUGAAUUGGGCCAAUAGCAGAACAGUACCUUUCAGACAGAGACAAGGAUGCUUGCUUAAUGUUUUCUACAUAGUUGAUUAAUAAAUCAUAAAUGAUUAAUGUAUAUCAUUUAUGUUUUAUAAAAACAUAUAUGAACUAAAUCCUACCCCAUCGAUCUUUUCGAGCCAUGAAGAUGGUGCCACCUCAACCUCAUUUUGCUCAAUGAAAUUGAGUACUACAUAGCGAAGAUAAACCUGCAAGUGAAGUUUAGAUAAAUCUGUUUUCAAAAAAGAAUGGCACUGGAGAGCAAAUCACCAGAAGACAGAAGGAAGCUGUAGGAGGCAGAAACUCAUGGGACAAAUCUUCACAAAGCAGAAGCUGUAGAAGGCAGAGACUCAGGGGCAAAGCUUCAGGACCCAGAAUCUCAGGGGUAAAGCCGAAGCAGUUACACUCACAGAGGACAAAGCUUCAGGAGGCGAAGACUCAGGGGUGAAGCUGAAGGAUGUAGAGCCUCAAGGAGCAAAGGGAUACUUCAAAAGGUAUGAAGAAUGGACACCUCAAUUUUGAUCCCGUAGUUUUCCUCCACGGUGAAUGCCCUCCUCUGAAGGGACUUUCUUUCUAAGCAAAGCAUUUGAGAAUGCCUGAUGUUAGCCAUGUAUGUUCCAUAGAGGCGUGAAUCACACGGUGUUGUCAGAUAUGGCUGUAGAUUUGUGUACACCCUGCAUAACACUGUGUUGUCCGCUUGUUCUGACACCACCUCGCAAAAUUGUUCAGGGCCUAACACAAAGGCAUUGUUUGCGCACUUGAAUGACAUCAAGUUUUCCUUGAUUUCUGUCUUGGACUUAGAUGUUUCCUCAAGACGAUUUGCAACUUGUGCCAAAACAUUUUUUCCAGAUCGGACCAUUUUUUUCAUUUGAUGAAGAUAGCUCUCAAACUUGAAAGCACUGCAGCUGUCAAGGCUGCCAAAGUUUUGGGCAUCUUCUGCAAGGUGCAGCAAGGAAUGGACAUUGUAUACCAAAAAUGUCACUCCAUACAGCUCCCGUCCUCUGUCUACAAAAUACUUAAGCAGCUGGUUUGCAUAAGCUCCUUGUGACUUUGUGAGAUCAGGAUUCACCAAAAUGCAAAGAGCCGUGCUGAAGCUCAAGAAGUGUGCAUAGAGAUGGUCUUGGAGAAUUCCCUUUAGAACAAUCUUCCCAGUGUAGAUAGCAAACUGUCUGAACUCUGUUGCUUUCCAGCGAUCUAUUUCCUGCAAGCCCCUUGGCUUCCUGGCAAAGCAAUCUGGAAUGGACUUCUUUAGUGACACCAGCCUCUCGCUUACACUGGUCACAUCUCCUGAUGACAUCCGGAAAUCUGUUCUCCCUCUUGUCCACAAGAGCAGCAGCUUUUUCAUUACCCCGAGACAGCUCUGGUGCAUAUAAUCUAUGGGGAAUGAUUUGAUCAUGUCAAUCGGGAGGACAGAGAAGGGAUAUGUCAUCCGACCUUCCC
ensembl:lncRNA